rnacentral:lncRNA from 1 species
AUGCGUGGCAAUACUGUACGAAGAAAAGAAGAAAAAUCUGAAGCCCACGCAUGUGCUCCACUAGGCUAUGCACAUGCGUGCUGAACCUAACAUAACCCACGCAUGUGCGCCACUAGGCCACACACUUGCAUGGUGAACCUGCUCUGAUGGCAUCAAUUUGGCGUUUUGGCCACCCAUGUGCGUGUAGGAGGUCACGCACAUGCAUGGAUUGUCGUUGGAAACUCUAUAAAUAGAGAUUUUGUCAUUUCUUAUAGGAGAUAUGGGGGAAGGAACUUAGAACCAUUUUCUACACCUAAUCAGGAGGUUCUCUAGAGCUUAAAGGCUUGCUUGGUGAAGAGGAAGGUUGAGCCCUUAGAGGUGGGUGCUUGAGCAUCAUGGAGGAAGGUGACAGCUCCUCCGGAAGGCCAUGUCUCCAAUCUACCUUGGGCUUCAUCUUUCCUCUUUUUCCUUCUAUGUAGGUUGUUUUUGUUUCUGUGAUGUUUUUUUUAUAAGUCAAUGAAUUGAAUAACUAGGAGUAUAAGGGGUACUCCAACCGAUGGUACAAACAAAGAGAAAACCCAGCCAACAAACAAGCUGCAAUUAGUCUUACAAGAGAAAAGCCAUCAAAGGGGCUAACAGUAAAGGAAAAAGACUAGUUACUGUCAAAAAUUGAGUAACAUCUAAAUUGCUAAAACAGACCAGCUCAAUGUCUCUUUGAUAGCACAACAACCCUACAAAAUCAAAUUACUCUUCUUUCUCAUAUCCACUAUAAAAUAGUCACCAAUUUCGAUGUUGCUGUUUUUGUGAUGUAAUUUGAUUCACUCUUGUUCAAUAUACUUCUAUACAAUUAUUAUCAUGGAGUUUAUUUGUUUGGAGUUCCUUUCCAUGCUUAAUGCUUCUUUUGGUUGAUUGGUGUUAUAAG